UGGGGAAUAUUGGACAAUGGGCGAAAGCCUGAUCCAGCAACGCCGCGUGAGGGAUGAAUGCCUUCGGGUUGUAAACCUCUUUCGGUGGGGACGAAGCGAAAGUGACGGUACCCACUAAAGAAGCACCGGCCAACUACGUGCCAGCAGCCGCGGUAAUACGUAGGGUGCGAGCGUUGUCCGGAAUUAUUGGGCGUAAAGGGCUCGUAGGCGGUUUGUCACGUCGGGAGUGAAAACUCAGGGCUUAACUCUGAGCUUGCUUCCGAUACGGGCAGACUAGAGGUAUGCAGGGGAGAACGGAAUUCCUGGUGUAGCGGUGAAAUGCGCAGAUAUCAGGAGGAACACCGGUGGCGAAGGCGGUUCUCUGGGCAUUACCUGACGCUGAGGAGCGAAAGUGUGGGGAGCGAACA
rnacentral:rRNA from 1 species